UCCUGACUGACCGAUAGUGAACCAGUACCGUGAGGGAAAGGCGAAAAGAACCCCGGCGAGGGGAGUGAAAAAGAACCUGAAACCGUGUACGUACAAGCAGUGGGAGCACGCUUAGGCGUGUGACUGCGUACCUUUUGUAUAAUGGGUCAGCGACUUAUAUUCUGUAGCAAGGUUAACCGAAUAGGGGAGCCGAAGGGAAACCGAGUCUUAACUGGGCGUUAAGUUGCAGGGUAUAGACCCGAAACCCGGUGAUCUAGCCAUGGGCAGGUUGAAGGUUGGGUAACACUAACUGGAGGACCGAACCGACUAAUGUUGAAAAAUUAGCGGAUGACUUGUGGCUGGGGGUGAAAGGCCAAUCAAACCGGGAGAUAGCUGGUUCUCCCCGAAAGCUAUUUAGGUAGCGCCUCGUGAAUUCAUCUCCGGGGGUAGAGCACUGUUUCGGCAAGGGGGUCAUCCCGACUUACCAACCCGAUGCAAACUGCGAAUACCGGAGAAUGUUAUCACGGGAGACACACGGCGGGUGCUAACGUCCGUCGUGAAGAGGGAAACAACCCAGACCGCCAGCUAAGGUCCCAA
rnacentral:rRNA from 1 species